GGAGGUGGCCGUGCAGGACUCAAAGCCGGGUCAGUGUGCGUCUGCCUGUAGGUUGUCCCUUACCCCAAGGCCAUCAGCACCAUGAAGCCCUGAAGUGGCUGCCCCCCAACAGUCACUCUGGGGUUCUGGUGACUGACCCCAAAUGGAGAUCGAUGGCUGGUCUCCCAGAGCAGGACGUCCAGGGAGUUCCCAGGUUACGGGGAGACACAGGUCCACCCUGGAGAAGUUUCUGUCCGGGUUGAUGGGCAGGCUCAGCUUCUGUCGGGGCAGAUCUGAGAGUCUGAGGGAGGAAGUCCCCAGGGAGCUGCUGCUGUGGCUGGAGAGACACAGGCCCUGCCUUGGAGGGGAUUCCAGUCUGAUGAGGGAGGCUCAGCUCCAGCUCGUGCUCCCCAAAGCGGGGAGCUCGGGUGCCAACAGAGGCCUCAGGAAGGAAGAAACAGCAGUUCAACGUGGAGAAACUGGAGCAGGGAAUUGGCCAGAGGUCAAGGUCAAGGCCAAAGCCAGUCUUGCCUGCCUCGCCCCUCCCCCUGUCUGCUGGGGCCUCUGCAACAAGCCUGAGUGAGUUCAAGCCAGCAUCUGAUGGAGGAACUCAGAACCUCAGAGUCUCAGCCUCCAGCUCCUGAGGACUUGUGGGCCACUCAGACCCCAGCGUCGUUGUCAGUCAUCACCCAUGGUGGUAACAGGGAGAGCAGCCAGCAGCCCUGCAGGAUCCCAUCUGAAAGAACAGAGCUGAAUCAGGACUCUGCACAGGUGACUCCAGUUUCUGACUCUCAGCUGAGCCUCUGGUGUGGGGCUCCGCCUGGGGAGGGUGGAAUGUGGGAAGAUGAGAGGCAGCUGCUUACAUGGAGUUUGGAGGCAGACAGACUUAGGGUGAUGGUGGAGAAAACCCUUCAUCUCCCAGAGCCUCAGUUUCCUCAAAUUGCAGAAUGACUGCGGGGCUGAGUGAGCACAGCCUGCUGUGGCCAUGCUGCCGGGCACGCUGUGCAGCAUUCGGAAAAUAGCACCUAGCUUUUACACCUGAUGGUAGCAUAUGGUCUUGACCUUUAAGGGUCUCACACUCCAGCUGAGAA
rnacentral:lncRNA from 1 species